UUUAAUUCGUAGUGUUUCAUUUGCUACUACUAUUUUUACAAAAAGUUAUGCAUUUGUUCAUUUAUAAAAUUCUCUACUUCAUAUUAUACAAUAGCUAUAUGAAGCUGCAUUCUUUCAAUCGUGAAUGCUAUGGGAAAUAAUAACAAGAAGAGGUGUGGAGGAGCGGUGUCGAUGGCGGUGGCGGUGGCGGUGGCGAUGGUGCAGCCAGAGCUAAUUAGCAGCACCAACAUACGGCGCCAAUAAUGUUCAACAAAGUUGGGCAACCGAAAAAAUGCAAAUGGCUUUCUAAGCCAUUAAAUUUGGAAAACAGCCGCCACAGCAGCAGCAGUAGCAUCAGCAGUGGCAGCAACGAUGGCAACAAACAGUGGCAGAGGCAACAAA